rnacentral:rRNA from 1 species
GAACGCUGGCGGAAGGCUUAACACAUGCAAGUCGAGCGCACCCUUCGGGGUGAGCGGCAGACGGGUGAGUAACGCGUGGGAACGUGCCCUUUAGUUCAGAAUAGCCACUGGAAACGGUGAGUAAUACUGCAUACGCCCUUCGGGGGAAAGAUUUAUCGGAGAAGGAUCGGCCCGCGUUAGAUUAGAUAGUUGGUGGGGUAACGGCCUACCAAGUCUACGAUCUAUAGCUGGUUUUAGAGGAUGAUCAGCAACACUGGGACUGAGACACGGCCCAGACUCCUA